rnacentral:rRNA from 1 species
UGGGGAAUUUUGGACAAUGGGCGAAAGCCUGAUCCAGCAAUGCCGCGUGUGUGAAGAAGGCCUUCGGGUUGUAAAGCACUUUUGUCCGGAAAGAAAUCCUCUGGGUUAAUACCUCGGGGGGAUGACGGUACCGGAAGAAUAAGCACCGGCUAACUACGUGCCAGCAGCCGCGGUAAUACGUAGGGUGCAAGCGUUAAUCGGAAUUACUGGGCGUAAAGCGUGCGCAGGCGGUUUUGUAAGACGGAUGUGAAAUCCCCGGGCUUAACCUGGGAACUGCAUUCGUGACUGCAAGGCUAGAGUAUGGCAGAGGGGGGUAGAAUUCCACGUGUAGCAGUGAAAUGCGUAGAGAUGUGGAGGAAUACCGAUGGCGAAGGCAGCCCCCUGGGCCAAUACUGACGCUCAUGCACGAAAGCGUGGGGAGCAAACAGGAUUAGAUACCCUGGUAGUCCACGCCCUAAACGAUGUCAACUAGUUGUUGGGGAUUCAUUUCCUUAGUAACGUAGCUAACGCGUGAAGUUGACCGCCUGGGGAGUACGGUCGCAAGAUUAAAACUCAAAUGAAUUGACGGGGUAUAGCUGUUUCCU